rnacentral:rRNA from 1 species
UCGGUGAUGCACUUAACAGAUUAAGUGAACCGCCUGGGGAGUACGGUCGCAAGAUUAAAACUCAAAGGAAUAGACGGGGACCCGCACAAGUGGUGGAGCAUGUGGUUUAAUUCGAAAAUACGCGAAGAACCUUACCUAGCCUUGACAUUGAUUGAACACUUUAGAGAUAGAGUGGUGCCUUUCGGGGAACAUGAAAACAGGUGCUGCACGGCUGUCGUCAGCUCGUGUCGUGAGAUGUUGGGUUAAGUCCCGCAACGAGCGCAACCCUCGUCCUUAGUUGCCAGCAGGUUAAGCUGGGCACUCUAAGGAGACUGCCUUCGUAAGGAGGAGGAAGGUGAGGACGACGUCAAGUCAUCAUGGCCCUUAUGGCUAGGGCUACACACGUGCUACAAUGGGGCGUACAGAGUGUUGCGAUACCGCGAGGUGGAGCUAAUCACUUAAAGCGUCUCUCAGUUCGGAUUGGAGUCUGCAACUCGACUCCAUGAAGCUGGAAUCACUAGUAAUCGUAGAUCAGCAAUGCUACGGUGAAUACGUUCCCGGGUCUUGUACUCACCGCCCGUCACA